ACAGACAGAACAUGAUGAAAGUCUGGGAGGAUUAUCCCAUUGAAGAUGCCCUGUUGUCAUAGAAAAAGCCAUGAAAGCCAACAAGACUGAAACAAAUUUCUGCUGAAGAAAUCUAUGUCCAGAUGUUGUGCAUGACUUCACAGGAUUUACUACAAAGCCAAUCAAGAAAAUCAUGAAAGAGAUUGUAGACACGGCAAAAAGGGUGGGGAGUGAUGUGUUUCAACAUAUGGGUCUUAGAGAAAUUCAAGAGCUAACAGAUACCACACCAGAGGAAUUAACAGAAGACAAGGUGGAGAUAGAUGCUUCUGAACCACUGCCAGACAGUGAGAAAGAUGCAGAACAGUGCCAGAAAACAAACUGACAUUAGACAAUCUGGCAGAACGGUUCUGAAUAUACAAGACUACUCUUGACUUCUUUUACGACAUGGACCCUUCUAUGAUACAGGCAACAAGAUCAACCCCUCCUCUUCCUCCUCAGCCUACUCAACAGGAAGACAAGUAGGAUGCAGACCUUUACAAUGAGCCACUUCAACUUAAUGAAUACAGGUCAAGUCAUGUUACUCAACCCAGACGCCCUAAGGAAAGGGAAGAGUUCAAGAUCAAUAACAAGAAGGGGUUCCGAGUGGCACCAUCACAUAUUCAUUUACUGUCAGCUCAUUAAUACACAAUAUGGUGGCAGAAGAAAACACCGAAAACAAUACCACUACCCCACUCCCUUUAUUAGAAAAAAGUUAAAAUACAAAUUCUAUUACUGUUUACCUAGGACCUAACUUCACACGGCUGACAUUUCUCAAAGAUAGGUCAUAGGAUCCCCAUUCCAGAAAGGGUGCUGUUCCAUACCCGGAAGGAAAGAAUGCUGCACAGAGAGGCCAAGAAGAAUCUAUACAGACAGGCAGGCCUUGCUGGGUUUCCCCACUCAGUAUAUGGCUGUCCAGACUUUGCUGAACCUAAGCAUACCAAUGGGCAGUUUUCUCCUAUAUCUUUAGGUCUUUAUUCUGAAGGCUCCCAUGUCACGUAACACCAAGAUCAAAUAAAAUCAUAUGCCCUUUCUCCUAUUAA